ACCUUACCAAUCUUGACAUCCUUUGAAACUCUAGAGAUAGAGCCUUCCCCUUCGGGGGACAAAGUGACAGGUGGUGCAUGGUUGUCGUCAGCUCGUGUCGUGAGAUGUUGGGUUAAGUCCCGCAACGAGCGCAACCCUUAAGCUUAGUUGCCAUCAUUAAGUUGGGCACUCUAGGUUGACUGCCGGUGACAAACCGGAGGAAGGUGGGGAUGACGUCAAAUCAUCAUGCCCCUUAUGAUUUGGGCUACACACGUGCUACAAUGGACAAUACAAAGGGCAGCUAAACCGCGAGGUCAUGCAAAUCCCAUAAAGUUGUUCUCAGUUCGGAUUGUAGUCUGCAACUCGACUACAUGAAGCUGGAAUCGCU
rnacentral:rRNA from 1 species